AUUGUGGUGCGGUUUAACUGC
rnacentral:siRNA from 1 species